GGAGCCGGGGGUACCUGAAGAUGGUGACUUCACUGGGAGCUAUCUAAGGUAAGACCGGUGACUGGGGCUAAGUCGUAACAAGGUAGCCGUACCGGAAGGUGCGGCUGGAAUACCUCCUUU
rnacentral:rRNA from 1 species